rnacentral:rRNA from 1 species
UGGGGAAUUUUGGACAAUGGGCGCAAGCCUGAUCCAGCCAUGCCGCGUGCGGGGAGAAGGCCUUCGGGUUGUAAACCGCUUUUGUCAGGGAAGAAAUCCUUUGAGCUAAUACCUCGGGGGGAUGACGGUACCUGAAGAAUAAGCACCGGCUAACUACGUGCCAGCAGCCGCGGUAAUACGUAGGGUGCAAGCGUUAAUCGGAAUUACUGGGCGUAAAGCGUGCGCAGGCGGUUAUGCAAGACAGAGGUGAAAUCCCCGGGCUCAACCUGGGAACUGCCUUUGUGACUGCAUAGCUAGAGUACGGUAGAGGGGGAUGGAAUUCCGCGUGUAGCAGUGAAAUGCGUAGAUAUCGGGAGGAACACCAGUGGCGAAGGCGGCGAUCUGGGUCGAUACUGACGCUGAGGUGCGAAAGCGUGGGGAGCAAACA